UCAAUUAACUCAAUCACUGGGGCCUGGGUUGUUCUAGGGUUAUGGGAGAGAGAGAUGAGUUGGCUUGUGAGAGGAUAUCUCCCAGUUCUUAGUGUCAGAGUGGCAACUUAAGCUCUUACCAAGAAUCCGGGGUUUAAAUAUCCAAAAAGGUGGUGCUUCUUUUGCAUAGAAAUAGAAGAGAAACCUUUCUUGGCUCCCAGAGGGUUUGCUUGAAGAGCUUUCUAAAAAAAGGAUAAUUAAAAGAGAAACCUGUAAAGGCAACGUUCCUGCAAGCAAGUUGGUGCUGUAACGUGCUGCUCUUUUUACCGGGACUUUCUCCAAGAAGUGGAAGCAGAUCUCAAUUGUAUGGAGAAAGGCUAACAAAAUGAAGAUAUUUCCUUGCAGAUGUGUGGAUAAUAAAAAGAAAAAAUAUAUUUUUU
rnacentral:lncRNA from 1 species